rnacentral:snRNA from 1 species
GUGCUCACCUCAGCAGCACAAAUACUAAAAUUGGAACGAUACAGAGAAGAUUCGCAUGGCCCCUGUGCAAGGAUGACAUGCAAAUUCGUGAAGCGUUCCAUUUUUUC